UUUGAAAAAGAAACCUUGACCUUGACCUCGACCUCUAUUUGUUUACGUCUUGUCGUCAUCCGCGAAGGCUGCAUGAAGUAACGAGCCUAAUUUUACCAAAUGUGGACCACAUCCCGACGCCAAACCGGAGUUCACCGUCAUCCGCCGCUUCCCCGCUGCGGGGCUACGACGCAAACGCACGGGGUGUCAGCAUGACCGCAGCCUGCCCAGUCAACACAUGUCGGGGAGAUCGUGGAGCGCCGAUCAAAAGUGCGCGCGAAGCACCGCACGCCGUUUCUGGUGUGAUUAUCGCGGGAGGAGUACGUGACGAGUGCUUUAAACUUCAGCCGGCUCUCACCUCACGGCGUGCGCUGAGCUGCAAAGUCACGCAAGAUGCUGGGAAAAAAAAACCCCGCCGCCGCUUCCCGACACCUUCGUCAAGUGAGCAGCUCGCGCAGCAGAGACGAGAAGCGUAUGGCCAAACAGCCGAGCGGCAUCGCCGGCGUUCAAAGAGCGACAGGUGUACCUCCUGACCUGUCCCUUUGGUGUACGUCUUGGCCAUACGUCACUGUUGAUGCUGCGUGCGAGCGCGGCGUUUGCGCCUUUUAACCGCCGUAAUUGGGCGAUGGCCGAAGCAGAUGUUGGCCCACGGCUGACGUCUCCAAACCGACCGCCGCUUUCCCGCACGCCCGUGAAAGGAAACCAGUUAAAACUCCAUCCAAAUUGGUCUCGGGCUGUAAAACACGCUGGAAAUUAUUAACUCCACAUGCCUGCGCCGCUGAUGAACUGGAAUCCCAGAACAACCUUUGGAUUUUGGCGAAUCACCUUGGAGGGAGACGCUGAUUGAGAACAGGACUGCUGAAUCCAGGAGGAACAAGCGAGAUGAUUUGUCGAGAGGCCCGAGGGAGCCAGCCGGCGCGCCUUGAAAACAGGUGGUGCAACAUCACACCGCAGCGUGCCUUCGGGGAAUAUUUGAAGACGUUCAGGAAAUGCACCAAAAACAAAACGCAUCCGCCACGCGACACAUGACAAACGACAAACUCAAGUUACGGCGCUGACACGGAGCCUGCCGUGAACUCGUGAGACGUUCCCCGCCAAAAUUUCACUGUGACGCAAUUGAAUGCAUGUGUAACAGUAGGCUGGAUCCCAUCAGUACCGCUUGGACUCGCCAGCAAGUGUAUGCAAAGCGGUGGGCAAGAUCUCUCCUGUAAAGUGUUACAAUGAGCUUGAUCUCGCCAGCAAGGGUGUGCAUGCCGGCGGACGUUUCGGCACUCUCUUCUUCUGAGUUGCUCGGCAGGCUGUCUCUCCUUAUCUUACUGAUCACUCCAAAAUGUAUUAGCAGAGCGGUCGACUGUCAAUCCAGCUGCCCAAAGGUCCUUACAGCGCUCCAUCCAUCCUCUCUAAAGGCCUGGCGGUCCCUUUGGCCUCGCUCUGGAUCAAGUCCCCCCCACAAGCCCCCCCCACCCCCUGACCCCGUUAGAGGUGCAUGAUGGGCGGCCCUGUCACUUCAAAUGGCUGCCCGGGUCCGGCGCGAGACUCACCCCUCACUGCGACAAGCCGAAGCAAGUUGAGAUCAUAUUUGGUGCUGCGGAACCUGUCAAUGUCUUUGCUGCUGAAGUUUCACCAAGAAACUGAAGCGGGAAUUUUUACCCAGCCCUACGCAUGAAGUCGACUUUCCUUCAACGAUCCCGCGCAGUCAUCCGAGGGGCCUGUCCCUUGCUGAUUUUGGGCCAGUGACAAACUACACCCUGGACUGGUCGCCAGCCACUCGCAGAGUCCAGCAACAUUUUGUAAUUCAAACCUCAAACGUCUAUGCGGCCUUUGUCUGUUUAAUGUCGGACCCGACAAAAGAGUGUCGUUUUUCUGGUACAUCUUCUAUCGUUGACAUUUUAUGUUUCCGACAAAAGAGACGGGUCGCAUUAUUUGGAAGUUGCCAAAGUCCGUCAGGCUCACCUGUCUCUUUUGCCCUUCUCCUGCCCUUCCUGUCCAAGCGCCGCAUCACAGUUGGACGUCAUCUGGCCCCGUGAAUGGCACAUUGUUUUGCCGGCUCCUCGGCGGCCGCGCGAGCAGAUGCCGAGAGCAGCCGCCACGCCGGUCCCCGCGCAACGCCUUCAACGCGGGGCCGUAAAUUACAUCCCGCCAACACACAAACACCGCCGCGCUCCACUGAGUGUGUGUGCAGUUUAGAGCACCAUUGAAGGUGCAGAGGCAUAUCCCGAUCUCGCUUUGAGAGCGGGGUCGGGUUUUUGAGGCGGCGGGGUGGGGGGGAGGCGGCCCCGCGGCGUGCCACCGCCGCCCGGACGGGCAGAUCACACGCGGACAGCUGGGCUUUGAACUCCUUACCCCGCCACUCCCGUCCGGGGUCAGCAGCUCGGUGGCCGCAAAAAGGUCACGCGGCAAUAAGAGGCCCGACUUCUGGUGAACUGCCGAAGCUGUUUUGACUGAGUCCCCGCGGCACCGUUGCGAGGCGAUACUUUGCGGCAUAGUACCGCGUUACCGUACUGAAGUAGGCUUCUCGGGUGUCUGUACUAUCAGGGGUCAAGGUGAACAAAAAACGGAUGAAAUAACCACAACUCAAAUUGAAAAAAAAACGUUUUUGUUCACCACAUGAAAUU